rnacentral:rRNA from 1 species
UGAGCAAUCUGCCCUUCUCAUCGGAAUAAGCGUUGGAAACGACGUCUAAUGCCGAAUACGACCUCCUUUCGCAUGAUCGGAGGUGGAAAGCUCCGGCGGAGAAGGAUGAGCUCGCGGCCUAUCAGCUAGUCGGUGUGGUAAUGGCCCACCAAGGCGACGGACGGGUGGCCGGCCUGAGAGGGUGACCGGCCACACGUGGGACUGAGACACGGCCCAGACCUCCGUACGGGAGCA